CCAAUAGCGUAUAUUAGUGUUGUUGCGGUUAAAAAGCUCGUAGUUGAAUUUCGGGAUUGGGAUAUAUCGGUCGUGCCUUUAGGGGCAUGAAACGGUGUGUAGCCAAUUUCUCACCUUCUGGUGAGUCGGGAUGCUCUUGGGUGUUUCGAUGAAUCAGGACCUUUACUUUGAAAAAAUUAGAGUGUUUAAAGCGGGCAUUUUUGCUUGAAUACAUUAGCAUGGAAUAAUAAAAUAGGACGAUGGUUUUAUUUUGUUGGCUUUAGGGCCACGUAAUGAUUAAUAGGGAUAGUUGGGGGCAUUAGUAUUCAAUUGUCAGAGGUGAAAUUCUUGGAUUUAUUGAGGACUAACUACUGCGAAAGCAUUUGCCAAGGAUGUUUUCAUUAAUCAAGAACGAAAGUUAGGGGAUCAAAGACGAUUUAUGUACGUCGUAGUCUUAACCAUAAACUAUGCCGACUAGGAAUCAGACAAAGUUCAUUUUUUAACGACUUGUUUGGUACCUUACG
rnacentral:rRNA from 1 species